rnacentral:tRNA from 1 species
UCCGGGAUAGUUUAACGGUAGAACUAAGGACUCUGACUCCUUCAGUCCAGGUUCGAAUCCUGGUCCCGGAU